AUCUACAAUCAUACUACUAUGAAGGGACCAAAUCUGGUAUUUCAGAAGCUAAGCAGGGUUGGGCUUGGUUAAUCCUUGGAUGGGAGACCACCUGGGAAUACCGGGUACAGUAGGCU
rnacentral:rRNA from 1 species